CAAAAAGUCAGAAAAACAAAGAAAAAAUGAGGAAAAAGCUAUCAAAAUGUUUAAAAAAAGUGACACACAGUAAGAAACAACAACAACACAUCAAUAAACUCUACAUUUCUGGCCCUUGGUGUGAUUCUCUUUUUCCAUUGUUCCCUUGGUGAAAAUGAGUUUGACACCCCUGGUGUAGAAGGUUGAAUAUGAGCUGG